AUUUUUAUAAAAUUCUAUUUGAGAGUCAGCGCGCCGUUCGGUUGCUGUCCUGUGCCAUCAUACCAACUCGCCCAGCUGAGCGACAAGCGGGUUUGAUUUUUGCUGGUUGAUUGCACCAUCGCAGCCUUUCUUCUGACUGCUAAAUGCGGCUAAAUAGCACUUUUGUUAGAGAGACUUGAAGGCCUCUUUGCUUUUGUUAUGUGUGGAUACUCCUCUGGCUACAUGUCGGGAUAUUUCUGAUAUUUCGGCGACCUUUCUUCACGAAGACCUGGCAACCCUGCUUUUGUCAUCCGGGAACUCCGGGAAAUUCGUCCGGCGCAUCAGCAACAGCAACUCGGCUGACGUUAACUUGAAGGAGAAAAGCGUGUGCAGUGGUGGGCGUAAAGCAAGUUGAAAUAGCAGAGAAACGUGCAACCUCUGAAGAGAACAUGUAUUGACCAAAGCAGACUGGUCAUGAAAGAGAAAAGGUGUCUGUGAAAAAGGAAAAAAAUCUGCCAGAAGCACCGCACUCCAUCAAAAAGUGGCUGCCAAAGUCUGUUGACCUGAAUGGAGG
rnacentral:lncRNA from 1 species